UGUGCCAGCAGCCGCGGUAAUACAGAGGGUGCGAGCGUUAAUCGGAAUUACUGGGCGUAAAGCGAGUGUAGGUGGCUCAUUAAGUCACAUGUGAAAUCCCCGGGCUUAACCUGGGAACUGCAUGUGAUACUGGUGGUGCUAGAAUAUGUGAGAGGGAAGUAGAAUUCCAGGUGUAGCGGUGAAAUGCGUAGAGAUCUGGAGGAAUACCGAUGGCGAAGGCAGCUUCCUGGCAUAAUAUUGACACUGAGAUUCGAAAGCGUGGGUAGCAAACAGGAUUAGAUACCCUGGUAGUCCACGCCGUAAACGAUGUCUACUAGCCGUUGGGGUCCUUGAGACUUUAGUGGCGCAGUUAACGCGAUAAGUAGACCGCCUGGGGAGUACGGCCGCAAGGUUAAAACUCAAAUGAAUUGACGGGGGCCCGCACAAGCGGUGGAGCAUGUGGUUUAAUUCGAUGCAACGCGAAGAACCUUACCUGGUCUUGACAUAGUGAGAAUCCUGCAGAGAUGCGGGAGUGCCUUCGGGAAUUCACAUACAGGUGCUGCAUGGCUGUCGUCAGCUCGUGUCGUGAGAUGUUGGGUUAAGUCCCGCAACGAGCGCAACCCUUUUCCUUAUUUGCCAGCGGGUUAAGCCGGGAACUCUAAGGAUACUGCCAGUGACAAACUGGAGGAAGGCGGGGACGACGUCAAGUCAUCAUGGCCCUUACGACCAGGGCUACACACGUGCUACAAUGGUAGGUACAGAGGGUUGCUACACAGCGAUGUGAUGCUAAUCUCAAAAAGCCUAUCGUAGUCCGGAUUGGAGUCUGCAACUCGACUCCAUUAAGUCGGAAUCGCUAGUAAUCGCA
rnacentral:rRNA from 1 species